CCUACGGGUGGCAGCAGUGGGGGAUAUUGCACAAUGGGGGAAACCCUGAUGCAGCGACGCCGCGUGUGGGAAGACGGUCCUCUGGAUUGUAAACCACUGUCCCCAGGGACGAAGAUGACGGUACCUUGGGAGGAAGCUCCGGCUAACUACGUGCCAGCAGCCGCGGUAAUACGUAGGGAGCAAGAGUUGUCCGGAAUUACUGGGUGUAAAGGGAGCGUAGGCGGGAUGGCAAGUUGGGUGUUAAAUCUACCGGCUCAACUGGUAGUCGCACUUAAAACUGCUAUUCUUGAGUGAAGUAGAGGCAGGCGGAAUUCCUAGUGUAGCGGUGAAAUGCGUAGAUAUUAGGAGGAACACCAGUGGCGAAGGCAGCCUGCUGGGCUUUUACUGACGCUGAGGCUCGAAAGUGUGGGGAGCAAACAGGAUUAGAUACCCCUGUAGUC
rnacentral:rRNA from 1 species